UAGGGAAUAUUAGUAAUGGGCGCAAGCCUGAACUAGCAACGCCGCGUGUGCGAAGAAGGCCUUCGGGUUGUAAAGCACUUUUUGAGAGGAUGAGGAAGGACGGUACUCUCAGAAUAAGUCUCGGCUAACUACGUGCCAGCAGCCGCGGUAACACGUAGGAGGCGAACGUUAUCCGGAUUUACUGGGCGUAAAGCGCGUGUAGGUGGUUUGGUAAGUAGGGCGUGAAAGCUCCUGGCUCAACUGGGAGAGGCCGGUCUAAACUGCCGAACUAGAGGAUGGUAGAGGGAGGUGGAAUUCCGGGUGUAGCGGUGGAAUGCGCAGAUAUCCGGAGGAACACCAGUGGCGAAAGCGGCCUCCUGGACCAUUCCUGUCACUCAGACGCGAAAGCUAGGGUAGCAAACGG
rnacentral:rRNA from 1 species